rnacentral:tRNA from 1 species
AGAGGAAAAAUAUAAAGUUACUGCUAAUAAUUUUUUGUCAAUUUAGUUUGACUUUCUCUU